AGAGAAGUUUGUUUGGGGUAUACGCUUUCAUGUACAUGCACACUUCAUCAGUAUCUGAAGAAGUGUGCAUGCACACGAAAGCUUAUACCCAGAACAAACUUAGUUGG